rnacentral:snoRNA from 1 species
CCCAUCCAGGAUGACGAGCUCAUCUCCUACCUGCUGCAUGGGCUGGGCAUGGACUACCAACCCCUUGUCUCCACCCUUGACUUCUGCAUCAUGACGGUCUCCCUUGACGAGCUCUACGCCAUGCUGAGCAACUUUGAUC